AAGAAUAGAAAUGCAGUAUUCUAUUGGUUUAACUCCAGUCAGGGUAACUAAGAGCUUAAUGACUGUUUCGAAACUCCAGGCAAUAGAGUCCCUGCAACAUUUUAUUUAAUAUUUGAAACCAUCUCUGUUUUUGUUUUGUUUGCAAGUAUAGAUACCUUUCUUUCUUUCUUUCUUUCUUUCUUUCUUUCUUUCUUUCUGUCUUUCUGUCUUUCUGUCUGUCUGUCUGUCUGUCUGUCUGUCUGUCGAAGAAAGAAUCUUAACUCAACUCUGUCUUCAAAUCAGCGGAAAAACAGAAAUGUUUUAUUAACACCUUCUGGGUUAGAGUAGUGGUUUGGCCAGAAAGAGCCGACAUUCAAAAUUUCAGGGCCCACGUGAAACUGCCAUGGCAUUGACCAGAUUACAUUUUUUUCUGCACUUCUUUCCAGCAUCUUGUUUAUCAUCCUUGCUACAAGCAGAGUGAAAACACCCGCAGCAGGACGUACCAUGGGAGCAUCAUCCGUGCAUUCUUAAGAUCGCUGAUUUAUUUCAUUUCAUUUCUGAUAGCUCUGUUGCUCAUUACGGUGUCUGUGGCGUAAACACUCGGCCCUCUCCGCCACCGCCACCACAGCAGCUAAGCGCUAAGGUCUCCCUUCUCUGUGAUUCCUCACAUGGUCACUAAAGCAUUUAUUUAUUUAGUAAGCACUGUCACAGUUGCUCACAGUAAUUUCCAGAACGGCAGCUAAGUUAGUCUGGUUGUGGCAGAAAAACAACACGAAGAUUCCCGGGGCUUUUAAGAGACGAACAGAUUUAUUACGGCAGGAACAUGCUGUAUGAACAUGCGACAAUGAAUUUGGACGAGGCUAUUGUUAUUGUUGUGGUUUAUGAGGAGGAGGAGGAGGAUGCUUGUGGAAGUUGGAAGCCUUUGGAAAACAGCCCGGAGGAAGUGGACCUGUGCUCUCACAGAAGCGAGGACGCUGACGGCCAGAUAGAAGUUAGAUACACUUGGCUGGCCGGGGUGACGCCUCAUCUCUGA
rnacentral:lncRNA from 1 species